rnacentral:rRNA from 1 species
CCUACGGGAGGCAGCAGUGAGGAAUAUUGGUCAAUGGGCGUAAGCCUGAACCAGCCACGUCGCGUGAGGGAUGAAGGUUCUAUGGAUCGUAAACCUCUUUUAUAAGGGAAUAAAGUGUGGGACGUGUCCUAUUUUGUAUGUACCUUAUGAAUAAGGAUCGGCUAACUCCGUGCCAGCAGCCGCGGUAAGACGGAGGAUCCGAGCGUUAUCCGGAUUUAUUGGGUUUAAAGGGUGCGUAGGCGGCAUGUUAAGUCAGCGGUGAAAGUCUGUGGCUCAACCAUAGAAUUGCCGUUGAAACUGGGGGGCUUGAGUAUGUGUGAGGCAGGCGGAAUGCGUGGUGUAGCGGUGAAAUGCUUAGAUAUCACGAAGAACCCCGAUUGCGAAGGCAGCUUGCUAAGCCAUGACUGACGCUGAUGCACGAAAGCGUGGGGAUCAAACAGGAUUAGAUACCCGAGUAGUC